CGCAGAUCAUGGGGAUCGGGGGCCUGUUCCCGAGUAAGCAUCAUAUCCUUCGCGUCGGGCUUGUCAGAGUCGUGAAAGGAAAAAGAGGAUUCUGCUAGUCUGUGUGGAGGCACAAGAUUCCCACAUUCUGUCUCUGUAGUCUGGAUCAGACAUUUUCUACAGAUGACCCCCUGAAUCCUCCUCUCUACCGUUCUCCAACUGGAUACUGUGCUGUACUGUACGCUGCCUGGCAAAAUAGUCAUUCAACCAUCCGGCACUGAGAGCCAGGCCAUGUCCAAUGGGAGGACAGCAGUUCAGGAAGGAAACCCAGGAACACAAGAUGUACAAGCUCACCUGUUCAAGCCACCCAUCUAACAUCAAACAGUGACAGUGUCCACACUCUCUGCCCAGCAAAUCCCACUCAUAAUAAUGAGAGUAUUCCUGCAGUGCCUGAGGCAGAC
rnacentral:lncRNA from 1 species